rnacentral:antisense_RNA from 1 species
UGUGGGAGCUGGCUUGCCUGCGAUAGCGGUGGGUCAGCUAUGCAUGUGCCAGCUGGUAGACCGCUAUCGCAGGCAAGCCAGCUCCCACA